GCGAAAUUCCUAAUAUUACUUCCAAAUCCGCACACGUCGAUCCUUAGCCAAAAUCCACAAACAUCGAUCCUUUGCCAAAAUCCACACAAACCCUAAUCCUAGCUCUAAGCCCAAAUUUCACGAGUUUCACUUUCAGAACAAGGAAAAAAACCCAGGUGCAUCUCUGUUCUUGGUUUAUUUCUUUUCUUCUCUGAAUGUGUGUCUAUAUAUAUUGUUCUUGGUUCCUAGCUCUAAGCCCAAAUUUCACGAGUUUCACUUUCAGAACAAGGAAAAAAACCCAGGUGCAUCUCUGUUCUUGGUUUAUUUCUUUUCUUCUCUGAAUGUGUGUCUAUAUAUAUUGUUCUUGGUUCAUUUCUUUUCUUUUCUUCUCUAAAUCCUAGCUCUAAGCCCAAAUUUCACGAGUUUCACUUUCAGAUCAAGGAAAAUGACCCAGCUCUAAGCCCAAAUUUCAUGAGUUUCACUUUCAGAUCGAGGAAAAUAACCCAACAUGGUUGAUUAGUCUAAGCCUCUCUAAGACAGAUUUUUAAGCUUCUACACAGAUCAAUUUUUACAUCCUUUUCAUUAUAUCUGACAAUGCCGAGAGUUCUAGAAAAGUUACAAAAAGAUUAGAACGGGAGCGUCAAGCAAUUUUGGCUAGUAUUGUGCGUCAACCCUCAGCUGUACGCAUUUCUGAUGGGGGUUCAAACUCCCCUCAUACAUCCACAGGUGACCAAAAUGUAGGAGUUAGUGAUCCUUCAUCCAAUCAUGCUAGUUCUCAAGUCCCUACCCCUACGGACACCGCAACAAGUGCUACCAAACGAAAGGUUAGGGGGAAGUCUGCAUUGUGUGGUAUUGCUUCAUCACAAGAAAAGAAGCCCCGUGUGGAAUUUGAUGAAAAUGAUCAUCCAAUUGGGAAAAUUGGUAAGAAAUAUAAUUCAACCUUCCGAUAAUAGUGCGGGAGCUAGUGCCGGUAACUAUACGAAGAUGGAACACCGUACUAGAACAAUUCGGAGAUGAAUUAUGGGAGGCUAUACAGUUGCGGUUUAAUGUUGACGAUAGUGCAUCCCGAUACUCAUUUCAAAAGAUGGGAGCUGCAUGGCGCACCUAUAAAUCAAUUCUGACAAGUGAUGUGCUGAAGGUGGGAAAAAACACACGAAAUUUACAACUCAUGAAGCCUCCUAAUGUGCCCACAAUAGAGGAGUGGCUAAGUUUUGCUAGGCAGCGUUUAUCAAAAGAGCAUGCUGUGGAAAGGCAAAAAAAACAAGAAUUAAAAGCUAAAAACAAAACCCCCCACACUAUGAGCCGAUUGGGAUAUGCCGGGUUGACUAAGGAGAUGAAAGAAAUGUCAGACGCUUGACUCCAUUACGAGAGUAGACGUGUGCAUUAAAGCGCAUAAAAGAAAGGACAAAAGUUAUAUAAAUGAAGUAGCCAAGGAGGCAGCGGAACAAAUGGAAGAAUAUACCAACACCACUUAGAGUACAGGAAUUCAUGAUGAUGCAAUCUCACAUGUAAUGGGUCCUGAACAUCGAGGAAGAGUGAGAGCAUUAGGAUUUGGGGUAACAAUGACAAAAAUAAAUGCUCGGAAUGAUGUUUCUCGGAUAUAUGAUCGGACGAUUGGUUCCUUGGAACAACAAUUGCAGCGACAACAACAAAUACAACUGAAAAUGCAACAGCAAAUAGAAGCACUCAUGGCACAAAAUGCUAACAACCAAUCCUGUCCCAAUGCUCCACCUCAAGUCCCACCUACUGAAGAUGUUGUCUAUAAGAAGUGUGAGUUACUACAUUAUAAUGGGACAGGAGUAAUUGUCGCUAUGGGUGAAGUUGAUUCAACAGAUCCUGAUGAUCUUAUAGAUGAUGUUCCUUUUGGUUUAGAAUGUUGGAAAAUUUAUAUCACCCAAGUCAUUGAACCUAACGUGCCGAUGUACCGAAUUCUUCAAUCUUACAAUACUCUUGAACAUGUGAUGGGUGAAACAAUUGCAUGGCCUAACAGGUUCAUCAAAAUUCUGCCGAAUGUGGGAUAAGCUUGCAUUUAUGAGUUUUUGCUUAAAUGAUGCUUGAGGUUCAAGAUUAUCAUCUUCUUUUGGGAUACCUGUAAUGACCCGGAUUUUUUGGAUAAAUUUUUUUUCGUUGUCUUUUCCCUUCUGAGUUUGGUUUUUUGUCGAUUAAUGUCGUCUCGAGUGCUCUGGAGUGAUUUCCGAGACUCUUUUCUGUGGAUUGACAACUUCCUUUGAGGACCGAGUCAGUUCUGCACUUUUCGUUUUUCGACACUAUUCACUUUUUGUCUUUUCCCUAUUUUGUCUUUUUCCCUAUUUCGUCUUUUCCUCGUUUGGCACUUUGUUUGCUUAACCACACUUCUUGUGUUCGGAGUUGGUUUCUGACUUCACGUAUCUUCAUUCUCAAUGAUUUCUAUGAGAUACGUAUCUUUACUUUCGUGAGAAAGUACUCUGGUUACUCCCGGUGUCCAUAGGGGCAUAAAUGCAAAGUUCUUUGGAAACUUUUUCUUUUCUUGGAGUGUUUUUCAUAAAUAUCUUUUGAACAUAUUUUAUUUCAGGGGUAUCUAAGAAAAUAUCUUUUGGAAGAUAUUUUCAUUUUGGGGCAAUUUCGCAAUUUUCACUUUUUGGAGGGGUCAUUGUGCAAUUAAUGAAAGUUAUUGCUCAAUGCCUUGUUUUGAGCCCGGAUUCUUGUAUGAGAUUCAUUUUCACAUUUCGUCGAGUCGUGGAUUCUUAGAAUUUUUUCCUGGACGAUAUUUUCUAGUUUCAGGGUUUUUGGCCCCGGUUUGCGUCAAACUUGUUUUGGGCAUAACUCUCUGUUCGGGACUCGGUUUUUGACGCCGUUUCUUCCGUUCAUAUUUUCUUAUUUGGAAUCUUUUUCGUUCAUGGAGUUUUGCCAUUUGAGCGCGUCUGCAUAAAUUCCACUUUUCCGGACCCGGCGGGGCCCGUUCGGGGCACUUUUUGAGUUUUUCUAUAAAUAGGAGGUCUUAGAAAGAAAAAUCAGAUUUUUCUCUCUCUCCUCUCUCAUGGCCGGUCCAAGCUCCAUCCAUGGCUGCCAUCUUCUCUCUCCUCUUUUGGACUUCUUUCCUUCAUUAAAAAGUGGUGAUGCCUUUGUGUUUAUUGUUCCCCUCGGUGAGGCCUUCGAUUCCAACCGAUUGGAAUCUCGUUUUGGCUAUUUCUUGAGUUCGGGUUUGAAGUCAAGUUGUGUUUUUAAUGGGGCUUCCUUGGGAUUCAUGUUCGUGGUGUUGUCCCCGAUAAAAUCUAGGAGUUUCGUCGGAUUCGGAGCCGAUUUAUUUUGGUGGGGAUUUGAGAUUUCAUCUCAAAUGGAGGUUCAAGAUGAUCAUCUUCUUUUGGGAUACCCGGCCCCUGGGUGUGUGCAAUAUGAUGACAGGCACUACAAUGAGGAUAUCAAGACAAGAAAAAUACAAGGCUAAUUGGGUUGCUUAGAAGAGUGAGCAAUUGCCUUACUAUUUUGAUUUUUUGUGAGUAUUGCUACUUCCAGAUUAUAAUUUAUAUAUAUAUAUAUAUGUUAACAAUGAUGGAAUUGUACAUUGAAAUCUUUA